rnacentral:tRNA from 1 species
GGGGGGAUGCCCGAGUCUGGUUAAAGGGGGCGGACUGUAAAUCCGCUGGCGUAGCCUACAGAGGUUCAAAUCCUCUUCCCCCCACCC